UACGUAGGGGGCAAGCGUUGUCCGGAAUUAUUGGGCGUAAAGCGCGCGCAGGCGGUCAUUUAAGUCUGGUGUUUAAGCCCGGGGCUCAACCCCGGUUCGCAUCGGAAACUGGAUGACUUGAGUGUAGGAGAGGAAAGUGGAAUUCCACGUGUAGCGGUGAAAUGCGUAGAGAUGUGGAGGAACACCAGUGGCGAAGGCGGGUCUCUGGACAGUUCCUGACGCUGAGGCACGAAGGCCAGGGGAGCAAACGGG
rnacentral:rRNA from 1 species